CCCCGGCCGCGCUGCCCGGGACUGUGAGCGGCGCGGAGCGUUGAGGUGCCCGGGCUCCCUUGGCGCCCGGACUGCGCCGUUCUCCCCGGUGUCCUUCCCCCGUGCUCUGCCGUGAGCCGCCCUGCUGCUCGCUCUGUGCUACUGCCCCCCGUGCGAUAUGCAAGAUGCCUGUAACCGUCUUGGCUCGAAGCGUCUGAGAGGAACUGGAGCUCAAGAUGAGAACCAACAAGGUGUACAAGCUCGUCAUCCAUAAGAAGGGGUUUGGAGGCAGUGAUGAUGAACUGGUGGUGAAUCCUAAAGUAUUUCUUCAAAUCAAACUGGGAGAUGUUGUGGAAAUUGCACAUCCCAAUGAUGAAUACAGUCCCCUGCUUCUCCAAGUGAAGUCACUUAAGGAAGAUCUGCAGAAAGAAACGAUCAGUGUGGACCAGACAGUGGCCCAGGUGUUCCGCCUGCGGCCCUACCAGGAUGUCCAUGUCAAUGUUGUUGACCCCAAGGAGGUGACCUUGGACUUGGUGGAGCUGACAUUUAAAGAUCAGUAUAUUGGGCGUGGGGAUAUGUGGAGGCUGAAGAAGAGUUUGGUCAGCACAUGUGCAUAUGUCACCCAAAAAGUUGAAUUUGCUGGUAUCAGAGCCCAGGCAGGUGAACUGUGGGUAAAGAGUGAGAAAGUCACUUGUGGAUACAUCAGUGAGGACACCCGGGUGGUCUUCCGCUCCACUUCUGCCAUGGUUUAUAUUUUCAUCCAGAUGAGCUGUGAAAUGUGGGAUUUUGAUAUUUAUGGGGAUCUAUACUUUGAGAAAGCUGUGAAUGGUUUCCUUGCUGACCUCUUCACAAAAUGGAAGGAGAAGAAUUGCAGCCAUGAAGUGACAGUGGUUCUAUUUUCAAGAACAUUUUAUGAAGCAAAAUCUAUAGAUGAGUUUCCUGAAACACAUCGUGCAUCAAUUCGGCAGGAUCACGAGGGAAGAUUUUAUGAAGAUUUUUACAAAGUUGUAGUGCAGAACGAGAGGCGGGAGGAGUGGACCUCCUUGCUUGUGACCAUUAAAAAGCUUUUCAUCCAGUAUCCUGUGUUGGUACGACUCGAGCAAGCAGAGGGCUUUCCUUCAGGUUACAAUUCUACCUCAGCACAAGGGAACUACCUGGAGGCUAUAAAUCUUUCAUUCAAUGUGUUUGACAAGCAUUACAUCAACCGCAACUUCGACCGCACGGGGCAGAUGUCGGUGGUGAUCACGCCCGGCGUGGGGGUGUUCGAGGUGGAUCGGCUCCUCAUGAUCCUCACCAAGCAGCGCAUGAUUGACAAUGGGAUAGGUGUGGAUUUGGUGUGCAUGGGAGAGCAGCCCUUGCAUGCUGUCCCACUCUUUAAGCUCCAUAAUCGCUGUGGCCCUGGUGACUCACGAAUGGGUGAUGACUACAAUAUCCCACACUGGAUAAAUCAUAGUUUCUACACAUCCAAAAGCCAGCUCCUGUGUAACAGCUUCACUCCACGGAUCAAGCUGGCAGGAAGGAAGCCACUGACAGAGAAAGCAAAAAAUAAUCGUGAUGCCUCAUUAGGAGCUCCCAAGGAUGCUGAGAAUGCCUUGCCUAUCCAGGUGGAUUAUGAUGGCUAUGAUGCCCAGGUGUUCAGACUGCCAGGCCCAGCCAGAGCCCAGCGCUGCACCACUUUCAGGUCGGUGCGGGAGCGGGAGAGCCGCACCAGGAAGAGCUCCAGCUCGUACGACGUGUCCUGCAGCCCGUCCCUGCAGAGCCGCGCGCUGCCCCCCGAGGAGGUCCGGAGCCAGGCCUCUGACGACAGCUCCCUGGGCAAGAUCUCCAACAUCCUCAUGAUCCCACGGCCCCACCUGCACCAGUGUGAAGUCAGCAGCUCCCUGGGCUACACCAGCACCAGAGAUUUCCUUGAGAACAUGUUGGAGUCGCAGCAGCGCGACUCCAGCGCCCCGGGGCGGUUCCACGUGGGCAGCGCCGAAUCGCUGCUGCACAUCCGCCCGGGCGGGUACGCGCCGCAGCGCGCCCUCAUCAACCCCUUCGCCCCGUCCCGCAUGCCCAUGAAGCUGACAUCGAACCGCAGGCGCUGGAUGCACACCUUCCCCGUGGGUCCCUCAGGAGAAGCUAUCCAGAUCCAUCAUCAGACCCGGCAGAACAUGGCAGAAAUGCAGGGCAGUGGGCAGCAGGAUCUGACACAUUCCUCUGCAGAGCUGCUGGAGCUGGCUUACCACGAGGCAACUGGCAGACACGGCAGCUCUCGGCAUCCGGGGGAUGGCGGCUCCUUCCUGAGCUUCGGCGGGGCGGAGGAGUUCGGGAACGGGAACGGGCACGGGCUGGGGGCCGGCCCCGGCGCAGGGGUGAACCUCAAAACUCAGAACAAGGAUUCCUUGGAAGAUGCUGUCUCUAAUUCUCCAGAUCCAAAAAGAGGCUGGUCUGUCAUUCUUUCUCUCCUCCUCUCCAGCUCCUUCUGCAGUUGUCUAGGAUGCAGAACUGUGCCAGGCUUCUGUUGUACAGUUGGAGUGGACUGGAAGUCCCUGACCACCCCUGCCUGCCUGCCCCUCACCACCGAUUACUUCCCCGACCGCCAGAGCCUGCAGAACGACUACACCGAGGGCUGCUACGACCUGCUGCCCGAGGCUGACAUGGACAGGAGGGAUGAGGAAGGAGUGCAGAUGACAGCCCAGCAGGUGUUUGAGGAGUUCAUUUGUCAGCGCCUCAUGCAGGGCUAUCAGAUCAUUGUGCAGCCCAAGCCGCAGAAGCCGGCCCCGGCCGUGCCGCCCCCGCUCAGCAGCAGUCCCCUCUACAGCAGAGGUCUUGUGUCGAGAAAUAGACCUGAGGAAGAGGAUCAGUACUGGCUGAGCAUGGGCCGUACUUUCCACAAAGUCACCUUAAAGGACAAAAUAAUUACUGUCACUCGCUACCUGCCAAAGUAUCCAUAUGAAUCUGCCCAGAUAAACUACACCUACAGCUUGUGCCCCUCACACUCUGACUCUGAAUUUGUCUCUUGCUGGGUAGAAUUUUCCCAUGAGAGACUAGAAGAGUACAAGUGGAAUUACUUGGAUCAGUAUAUCUGCUCUGCUGGCUCGGAGGAUUUCAGCCUGAUCGAGUCGCUGAAGUUCUGGAGGACGCGGUUCCUGCUGCUGCCCGCCUGCAUCAGCGCCACCAAGCGCAUCAUGGAGGGGGAGGCGCACUGCGACGUGUACGGCGACAAGCCCCGCUCGGACGAGGAGGAGUGGCAGCUCCUCGAUGGCUUCAUCCGCUUCGUGGAGGGCUUGAACCGCAUCCGCCGCCGCCACCGCUCCGAUCGAAUGAUCCGAAAAGGGUCUGCCAUGAAAGGCUUGCAGAUUGCUGGUCCAAUUCCCACUCACUCCCUGGAGCAGUCUGGACCUCCCAUUGGGAAAAAAGGAACCUCAGCACUCUCAGCUCUGCUGCAGAUGGAAGCCAGUCAGAAGACCCUGGGGGAGCAGCAAGCAGCAAUGCUUUCUGGGAAGAGCUCUGGCCAGCCUUCAGAGAGUGGGAGCAUUGCUAUCACACCCACCUAUAUGGACAGCCCUCGCAAGGAUGGGGCCUUCUUUAUGGACUUUGUUCGCAGCCCACGCACAGCUUCAACCUUCUACUCCCAGGUCUCUAUUGAUCAAUCAGUUCCUGCAUCCUCAGAUGGCAGCACCUUGCUCCCCACAGGGCAGGUCCCUGACAGGGGCAGCACCCAGGGGAGCACCCAGAGCACUGAGCCAGGAUACAGCACAGCUGCUGCUGCAGAGGGCAGCUCUCAGCAGUGUUCAACAAGUGCUCUGACUUCCUCCUCCACUUUGGUAGAGAUUCUUGAAGCCAUGAAACACCCCACCACAGGGAUCCAGCUGCUCUCUGAACAGAAGGGGCUCUCCCCCUACUGCUUCAUCAGUGCAGAAGUUGUGCACUGGCUGGUGAAUAACGUGGAAGGGGUGCACACCCAGGCCAUGGCCAUUGACAUCAUGCAGAAAAUGUUAGAAGAGCAGCUUAUUGUCCAUGCAUCUGGAGAAGCUUUACGAACCUUUAUUUAUGGCUUUUAUUUUUACAAGAUUGUUGUGGACAAAGAACCAGACCGAGUGGGGCUGCAACAGCCUGCCAUGUGGCACACAGCUGCCAUGGAUGACUUCUCAGCCUUCCAGAGGAAAUGGUUUGAGGUGGCCUUUGUGGCAGAAGAGCUGCUGCACUCGGAGAUCCCGGCGUUCCUGCUGCCCUGGCUGCCCAGCCGCCCCGCCUCCUAUGCAAGUAGGCACAGUUCCUUUAGCCGCAGUUUCGGAGGACGGAGCCAGGCAGCUGCACUCUUAGGUAGAUGCACAGCACAGGUGACAGCUGGGGAAGUUCAAGGGGAUAUUUGAAAGGGGAAGAGCAGCCAGCCAAGGGGAUGAUCUCACGUGGACCAGCAAUCAAGCUGCAAAUUUCAUGCUGGCCUUACAGUGUCUUGCAUGUGGACUCGCUCUCAUGUGCUGGAGGUGUGUUUCACUGGCUGGGCAGGAAACUUUUACUUUUUAUUGUAUUCCAGUACUCUGAAGUAUUUCUUAAAAUGUUCCUUCUUCCUGAACCUCUAGAAUUCAGGAAAGAAGAUACUUUGUCUCCUUGCAAAUCCUGAGAGACUGUUCACAACCUGUAAGGAGUAUGGAGGGAUAAGUUGUGAGAACAGCAAAGCAACCAAACUGUUCUUAAAAUUACAUAUCUAAUUGUUUCCUAGGGGCAAAAGCCACAGUGAAGUCCAGAUGUGUUAGAAGUUUCUGUGAUGUGCUGGAGGCUUUCUAGCUAAUCUGAACCAGACUCCUUGCAUUAAUGAGUCUGUGGAGCCCAGCUGCAGAUGAUCCCUGUGCUAUGGAAGCAGUAGGAAGAUCUUGCUGCUGGGCAAGGUCCCAUUAGUGUCUGAUGUUCUCUGAGGUGUGGAGAGUAACCCUGACUGCUCUAACAGCCCAUGAAACACACUGGCUGCGUGACUGACCCCGUUGCUUUGUCAGCUUCUUGUUACAUUUCCAGGCCAGCCUGAGUCACUUGCUUUUGUUCUCCUUUCCUUGUUUAAAAGAAAAAUCAUUGCUCUGGAACUGCAGCUUCAGGUUUAUUUAGAUGCAUCUGUUAAAGGCCUGGCAAUUAAGGAUAAAAAGAAACAUUUUGCUUUUCUCCUAUUGUGUAUAUUUAACCUUCUGAAGAGAAGUGCCUUACUGCAGGUGUAGUAUCUCUUAAACCUGAAGUCACAGUAAUCCUUGUGUAUUUCUGAGAGCCUUGUUUGAAGAAGAACAGCAUCAGAAAUCUGAAAGCAUUACGGAUAGGAAGUCUGAACUAAUGGUUAAUUCCCUGAAGCCAACAUAUGCAGGUUAUUUUCCCUGUCACAUGAUAAAUCUGUUUCCUUGGCUGGUGUCCAGCCUCAUUAGCUCAGUGGCUGGCUAGAGCUGAAGCCUGAACUGGCUGGCAUGGAAGUUUUGUGGAGGCUGGAGGCACUGGAGCCAGAUCCUCUUCAUGGUUUGAUCUCUUACUCACUAUUUAGCCUGAGAAAACCAGUUCACAUUGCUGUGUCUGUGCUCUCUUGUGAGCUGAGAAGCCCGAGGCUCAGCAGCCUGCACCCCUGGGGAUGAGUAGAGAUGUGCCUCAGUGUCCCCCUCACCUCUCAUUUAACACCAGCCAGGAACUGUGUAUUCCUGCAGCAUGUGGGUAUUACACACCUGAGUAGCUCUCCUUUUCCUUUCAGUUGGGAUUAUGUCCAUUUUACUAUUUAACUCAUUUGCAGCCCUUGAAUGAGUGAUAAAUGCCUUCAGAUUGCUCUCAUGCAGUCUGGGUUUUCCAGGAAUUAUGGUUUCUUGUAGAAAAAUUGAGCUUGGAAGUUUUUUCUUACAAAGGAACUGGAUAAAUGAUGCUUCUGUGCUGUUCCUCUUCUAAACAGUAUUCCAAAAAAACUUCAGCAGUUCAUCUGAGGUAAAGAGCUUUACUAAACCCAGAUGACCCCUGGUCCACGUGACUUCAUUUGUUCCUCUCUUGGUCUUGAUUAGGUUGUGGUUUUUAUUUCUUCCCCUCCCCACCUUCCCUAAAUGUCAGGCUGUGACAUAAAAUUGCAUGCAAGCAUUGGGAGCUCUGGAACAAGCUCCAUGUAUCUCUCAAAUCUUUGUCCCUCCCAACUUCCCAAUCACUGCCCAGUGACUGUCCCCUUUCCCUCCCCAGUGGAAGUGUGACCUGUGACACAGCUAAUCUUGUCCCUUUGAUUUGUAGCAGUGCAUGCACUAGCAACUGUAGUCAUGUAUGUAGUGGAGUCUGACUGGAGAAUAACCUGCCUGCUCCUCUCCGAUUGCUUAGUAAAUCCUUAGUUAAAUACUCAAUAGUAGAAGACAAUUGGGAAGCAGCUGCCACGGUGCCCGAGCAGCGCACGGUGACGCUGGAUGUGGAUGUCAACAACCGCACGGACCGCCUGGAGUGGUGCAGUUGUUAUUACCAUGGCAACUUCUCCCUGAACGCUGCC